GCCUCGUGCACCGCGCUCGCUGCAGCCGAGCCCUGCUGAGGCCUUUGCACGCUGCUGCUACGCAUACACUAAUUCACAGCGCCUCGGGCUGCGCACAGCAGAUACUUCGCUCCCGUCCCCCCCCCCCCGCGUGCCCCUAUUUCAGCCCCUCCGCGCCGGGCCCCGCGGGAAACUUUUCCUCUCGCGGCACACCCAGCCGGCCCCGGCGGUGGGGCAGCGGCGCGGGGCGCGCACGGCCCCUUUAAAUUCCAGCUGUGCGGCGGGGGGCAGCACCGCUGGCGGCGCGGCGCGGCGCGGGCUGGGGCCGGGGCCGGCUGCCGGUGCGCGGCGGCGGGGAGCGCGCAACCUGCGCCCGGGGGAGGUAGCGGCUCCGGCGCCGCGGUCCCUCGCGGAGGCGGAGAGGAUGAGGGUGGCUUCUGGCUGCUUUUUUUGCCUCCUCGAGAUGAUUUCCAUAGUAACCUGAUCGAGCGGUGCAAUUUCGGAAACUGGGGUGGCUUUAUUAUUAUUAUUAUUAUUAUUUUUAUUUUUUUUCCAUUUUUUUCUCCGCUUCUUCCCUCCCACCUCGUCGGCCCCCGAGGAGUGACAGGCGGCAGGUAUGCUGAACUGAAUCAUCGAAUGCUGGAAGCUGUCACCCACGAUAGUACCUGAAGCAGAGAGGUCACACUGGCUUCCUUCAACACAGCACUGCUGUGUCCUGGGGAACCCCCUGUUCACACUCUGGCAGAGACACCAAAACAGCAGUGAGUAGAUUGAGCAGCUGAUGUGGGGAAGGGAAAGAGGCUUAGGCUGGGAGGCAGGAGGAAAGGGGAACAGUGCGUGCUCCCCUGUGCUGGCGGGGGAUGGAUGGGAUCGACUCUUUGUCAAGUCAGGCAAAGAGGCAAAAGACUUGAUGGAGUAGAUGGUGUCAUUUGCUUGAGAGAAGAAGUACUACGCCUCCUCAUUUCUGCUUUAAAUGAGGGAUUCAAGCUAGCCCUCCACUUCAGCCAAAACAGCCGUGGGGGCCAUGGCUAUCUGUGCGGAUGGUGACUUGUAGACGUCACACUCACGUCCUUUCCAGCAGACUGUUAAUCGCUGGCAGCUGCAGCGUGCCCUCCUGCCAGUUCUGGGGCCCCGGGAGGCAGGAGAACCCCGGGGAGCCUGGGUAAGCCCGGCUGUGCCGUAGGGCAGAGGAGGCUGGAUGGCACACGGCAGGAUGCGGCCAGGCAGGUGGGGCCGCGGAUCCCCGCCAAGCUGGAUUGCUGUACCCAAGGUGACGGGGAUGACUGUGUGCAACAAAGUUGUAAUUUGGUUGCCAUAACGACGGGGCACAUCCUUUGUAGUCUGGGCACUCCGCGCCUGGUGUGCGACAUGCGGCAGUUGCUCUAACAAGCUGAAAUCGGCUUUUAUUUUGUUCUUGUAACAUCUAUUGUUUUGGAUGGAGGAGGAACGGCAGCUCACAGCCACCGUGCUUUGUGAUGGAUUUUUGCCAGCUUGUCCUAAAAUUCGUGGGUACAAGGGAAGGGGAUGUCCGGAUGGCACCACUGACUAUUCUUAUUUUGAAAUCUUAGAAUACGUAUAUGCGUAUAUACAUAAAUAGAGAGAAAAUACUUGCAAGAAACAAUUUGACAUAUCUGGGAGUUCAGUGUCACAGUGACUUUUAUUUGGGGUGUUAUUCGUCGUUAGCUAUGGAAUGUGUUACUGGGAUCGUAAUAGCAGGGUGUUCCCAUCCUAUGGAGGGACAGCAGGUUGCUCUGCUCUGUCACUACUGUGAAAAAGACUAUCAGUGUAGACCGUUCUUCUCUGUAAAUGUAAAACAAGCAAACAGUUGCAUAUUGAAGAGUCACAGUCAGGCAUGUAUUAAAAAAAAGAAACACACUCCUUCUUUUCUUUGCGUUCCCUCUGCUCUCUUGUUCAGUGGACACAGAAGGGUUCAGGCCGCAGUACAGGAGGGUGCAAAAGGGGACUUGUCAUUCCCGCUGCUUGACUUGUUGCCUACCAUUCAGGAGAACUUUCAUUCUUUACCAGUAAGUCCAAAGCUAUCAUCUUUAUUUUUGUUUAUUUCCUUGAUAUUUGGUAGUCACUUAAGGGAAUUUCUAAGGGUCCUAACUCUUAAAAAGACCAAAACCCUUUUAAGGUGACUCCAGUCAUGGCUUUAUACCUUGUCCUAAAGUGAUCCGAUGGCUAUUAUAAAGAACUGCUAACAAAAGACUUAUUUUAAAUAGAAUGAGACAAACACAAUAUCACACAAUAUUUUGCUACGCUUUCCUCAAUGGAGCAGGUAAAAUAUUUUCUGGUUG
rnacentral:lncRNA from 1 species